rnacentral:tRNA from 1 species
GGGCGCGUAGCUCAGCGGGAGAGCGCUCGCCUCACACGCGAGAGGUCACAGGUUCAAUCCCUGUCGCGCCCA